rnacentral:rRNA from 13 species
AAUAGGUUUGGUCCUAGCCUUAUAAUUAGCUGAAAGUAAAAUUACACAUGCAAGACUCCCCACACCAGUGUCAAAUCCCUUAGAACUAGACAGCUAACCUAAGGAGAGGAUAUCAAGCACAUUAAUAUAGCUCAAGACAUCUCGCCAAGCCACACCCCCACGGGAAACAGCAGUGAUAAAAAUUAAGCAAUGAACGAAAGUUUGACUUAGUUAUACUUCCAAGGGUUGGUAAAUUUCGUGCCAGCCACCGCGGUCAUACGAUUAACCCAAACUAAUUAUUUUACGGCGUAAAAGGUGUUAUAUCUAAAACAAAUAGAAUUAAAACCUGACUUAUAUGUGAAAAUUCAUUGUCAGACAAAAACACAACCACGAAAGUGAUUCUAAUAAACCAAACACGAAAGCUAAGACCCAAACUGGGAUUAGAUACCCCACUAUGCUUAGCCCUAAACUUAAAUAAUUAAUAACAAAAUUAUUUGCCAGAGAACUACUAGCCAUAGCUUAAAACUCAAAGGACUUGGCGGUACUUUAUAUCCACCUAGAGGAGCCUGUUCUAUAAUCGAUAUACCCCGUUACACCUCACCACCCCUUGCUAAUCCAGCCUAUAUACCGCCAUCUUCAGCAAACCCUCAAAAGGACACACAGUAAGCAAGAGCACAAACAUAAAAAAGUUAGGUCAAGGUGUAGCCCAUGAGGUGGGAAGUAAUGGGCUACAUUUUCUUAAAAAGAACACACGAAACCCUUUAUGAAAUUAAAGGAUAAAGGAGGAUUUAGUAGUAAAUUAAGAAUAGAGAGCUUAAUUGAAUAGAGCAAUGAAGUGCGCACACACCGCCCGUCACCCUCCUCAAACUAAUCUUCAAGUAAAAUAAAUAAAAUUAAACUAACUAGAAUACGAGAGGAGACAAGUCGUAACAAGGUAAGCAUACUGGAAAGUGUGCUUGGA